rnacentral:tRNA from 1 species
GGGCCUGUAGCUUAGCUUGGUUGAGCAUCGAGUAAAUUAAAUUUUACGUGCAAGUCUUAUAUGACCACUUUAGCUUCAUAGAAGUUUUAUAGCUAAAGAGUGCUAAGUUAGCCGAAGGUCAUGGGUUCAAAUCCCGUCAGGCCCA